ACAAGUUGCUGGUCAGCUAAUAGAACAGACAGAAUAGAUUCCAUUCUACUAACUUAUCAACCAACACGUCUCAGAUCAGAUACUACAAUAGUAUCGUAUCUCAUCUUAUGUUUUGCCUUGUUAGCUGUGUGUAGUUAACGACUGCAGAGGCACAGAUGUUGUUUUUUGUCUGAGUGAGAAAAAACGGAGAUUCUGUGUGAGCGGGUUCAAGCUAACCGCUAAAGCUAACCGCUAAAGCUAACGGCUAAGCUGCGGCCUGCGAGCCUCGUCGCGGACUGAGUGGACCUUGAACUGGACAGACGGAGGUGCUUCUGGAUGAGGAGUUACCUGGACGAGGAGUUACCUGGAUGAGGAGUUACCUGGAUGAGGAGUUACCUGUCGCUCCUCUGACCGUUUCAUUUCCUGAGACAUUGGAUUAUUCGUCGGCUGGCUGCUGACUUUUCAGACACAGAGCUGUGAACGCCACGACGUGGAUUCUGCUAACGGCUAACUGUGAGUUUGCUGACCGGAGAUCAACGCCGCUGCGGGGAUUUCGUGGGCUGUUUCCUGUGAUCAUCGUGGGUUUUCUACUCUGCACCUGGACUACGGCGACCAGCUGGAGAUCUACACACAGCUGCUCAACAGAAUACAUCACCACAUCCUUAACUUCAUGCUGAGGUCAAACAUUAAACAGAACACGAGGUUUUCUGCCCCAAAGAGCCAAAACUACAGCAGAAGUUUGUCAAAUACUGAGCUCCAGUUCAUGUCUAGAAGCUGUGCUCUAUAGAAGAUGUUCCAUGAAAACAUCACAACACUGUCAUAGAAAGAAGAGAGAACCAGCACAGGAAGAAACAUCAUCUCUUGGAUGACUUUAUUUCAAAUGUGAGUGAAAAAUCCUCAACAUGUUUCCAGUUUUCUGAUGGUUUCUUCCAGUUCUAGGAAUGUACCAAACAGUUUAGUCCUGAAUGAACUCUUCUUGCUUCAUUCCUCUGAGGUGCUAUCAGAGAGUCAUUUUACUCUCCCUCCACUGGAACAUGCAAACAAGAAUAAAUACAGUUAUCACAGCAGUAGAAAAAUAUCACUUCAGCCUAUUCACAACACUGACAGUUAUAGUCUCUGUUUUGUCACAAUAAAAAAAUAAUUUUAAGACGAUCAUUACAUGGUAGCAAACAGAAAUAUGAGCUCCACUAACUAAUAAUGUCAAACAUAGGUGGUGAAGUUUUAGAAAACACUGCUGGCUGCUCUUUGCCUCCAGAUAAAGUGUCGUCUGAUUGAUUGUAAAAAGCAAAGAGAAUCUAAUGAGGUAAAAAUCAAAGCUUGUUUCAACUAAAGUCUCUCCAUCACACACUACUGAUGACCAGAAUGAACUCCAUGUUUUCAUCUGAUCAUGAGGAGAAAAGGCUUUUUAAUGACAACAUCCAACAGUUCCUCCCUGAUGAUCACAUGACCUCCUGACUGCUUCACCAGAUUUCAAACUGCUUGUGCUUCUUAAAGGGUCUUCUGUCCACGAUGUCGUUGCUGAAGAGUCUGAAAAACACCAAAGCAGAGAGCAGACGUCAUCAUUCAGGAAGAACAGCAUCAGUUCAGCUCAUCUAUCCACUGGUUUCUCUGUGAGCCUCAGAUGAAUGUUUGCUCACCUCACAGUGUGGAUGGAGGAGUGGAUGGAGAUCAGCUGGAGGAGCACAUCUGUGGAAGCAUCUGUGAUCUUAUUGUGGCUCAGACUGCAACACAAACACACAACUCAUUUAUCCCUCCAUCUGAUAACAUGUUGACAGAAGGUCAGAGAAGCUCAUCAGUCAAUCAACAGGAUCAAACAUAAAAGCAGAGUCAGUUUUUCUGGGACAACUUCCUGUAAACAACCUCAUUUUCCUCUACAAUAAGUUUGUUUCCAUCAUCUUCUCUAAAUCCAUCAUCAGCUGCCAGUGAAGGUGUGUUUGGGUCCAUCUAAAACUCUGUGAAUCUGGAAUAUUCUUUAGUUCAAGUCCUGGAUCUGAAGCCUCUGAACCUUAAACCUGCUGCUGAGAUUAACGGAAGUGACGUCUUUAAAAAACUAAAUGACUCCAUUUAUCAGAGCCACAAACUGUAAAAAACAAAAAGAAGCUUCAGAUGUUCAACUCUGUGACUCGUGGUGUGUAGUUCUGUCCAGAAAUGAACCAAAUCUAGACUUAAAAUCACACAACAAUUCAUCAUAAUCAUUUUAUUCUACGCGUCUAAUUUGAAAAUUCACUAAAAAUAAACUGUUUGCACCAGAUUCUGUAAAAAAACUAAAAAUUCUGGUCUCCUCAGUGCAACAGAGAAACCUCGACUGACUCAGCUGAGACCAUCAGUCAGGAGAGAAAAAUUCUGGGUUUUCAGGUGAACUGCAGGCAGUGUUUCCACUGAGAGGAAAAUCAAAGCUUCUGGAUGAAUCAAAUAAAUGCAGCAUGGCUCAGAAACAGAGAACAGAGGAGCAGGUUGUUGGAGAUCCAUCCAGCAUGGUGAAACAUCUUUCUACAGCUGAUGAACAGAGUAGAGAGGAAACGUCUGGAGAGGCUGGAAAAAUGGAAAAAGUUUAACAUCUACAGUGUGUGAAGCCUCCAUUUAGUCCCAGAGUUGUUAACACCUGCUGACACUUGGAAAAACAUGAGACAUGCCUCCCAGAGAAGGAAGUGGUCUGAGACUCACUCCAGGACCUGGACUUUGUGCAGAUGUGUGAUGAGGACCAGCAGCAGCUGGUCUCUGAGCUGACAGUGACUGAGGUCCAGCUCAGUCAGUCCUUCACAGGAGUCCAGCAUCUGGACCAGACCUCCACAGACCCUCUGGUCCAGUGUGGUGUGACUGAGACGGACCCUGUCCAGGACAGGAAACAGCAGGUCCAGUCCUCCGUCCUCCACCUCACAGUCCUGCAGGUGGAGCUGAGUGUCCCGGCUGCAGUGUUUCAGGAUGAUGGAUGCAGCCCUGCAGUCAUCAGCAGUCAGACUCAGAGGCUCGGUCUGAUCCUCCUCUUGUAGAUCCACAAAGGACUGGCAGGACAGAUCCAAGCGGUGCUGCAGAGUCCUCAGCAGGCCGGAUGCUGCCUCCUGCUGGACGUCAGAGGCAGCACAGCAGUGGAUGAACCUCAGCAGCUGAUUCCUGUCCACACUGAAGAACAGUUGAUGCAGAAAGAAAGCAAAGAAACAGUUAAUGCACAGAAAAUGAUUCAGUUUACCAACAGGAUCUUUGAAUACACACAUCUUCUAAAGAGAAGAAAACACACAGAAACAGAAAUAUAAAGAUUAAUUAUCCAAGGUUGUUUAAAUCAAUCCAACUGGACUUUAAGAAAGUUCCUUGAAGAUGUUUCACCUCUCAUCCAAGAGGCUUCUUCAGUUCUGGUGGUGGUUGAUGUUGCCUCAGCUUAUAACCUCUGUGAGGUGUGGUCAGUGUUAUACACACAUCUGAGUGUGUUAUUUGGCUUAACACCAGAUCCCUGUCUUUUUUAAGCCAAAUAACACACUCAGACAAAGACUGGUCCACCCAAAAGACCCCACACCACACAGUCAGAAGAGCAACCUGG
ensembl:lncRNA